UACGGAGGGUGCGAGCGUUGUCCGGAAUCAUUGGGCGUAAAGGGCGCGUAGGUGGCCUUCUAAGCGUGCGGUGAAAGCCUGGGGCUCAACCCCGGGUCGGCCGUGCGAACUGGGGGGGCUUGAGCACUGUAGAGGCAGGCGGAAUUCCGGGUGUAGCGGUGGAAUGCGUAGAGAUCCGGAAGAACACCGGUGGCGAAGGCGGCCUGCUGGGCAGUUUUGCUGACACUGAGGCGCGACAGCGUGGGGAGCAAACAGG
rnacentral:rRNA from 1 species